AUGUUGCGUACUGCCGCAGAGGAGGCGGCGGUGGAAGCCAUGGAGGUGGUGGCGGCGGUGGAAGCCAUGGAGGUGGUGGCGGCGGCGGGAGAGGUGGAAGAGGUUACGGGAGUGGAGGCGGAUGGAUGGGUGGCGGCGGGACUUAUUGGCCGUGGUUGCACCCACACAGCGCAGCGGCCGAACCGAGCGUCGGCUGGAGGGUUUCUGGCGCCGUCAUACUCACGCCGGCGGCGCUUGUAUGGUGGCUCUGAGAGUGCCUACUUUCGCAAGCUAAUCUGGGGAGACGAGUGCCUUGGCGAAUUUCUCGUCUCUGGUGGCUCCGCUACCUAG
rnacentral:rRNA from 1 species